GACGAACGCUGGCGGCGUGCCUAAUACAUGCAAGUCGAGCGAAGUUUUUCUGGUGCUUGCACCGGAAAAACUUAGCGGCGAACGGGUGAGUAACACGUAAAGAACCUGCCUUAUAGACUGGGACAACUAUUGGAAACGAUAGCUAAUACCGGAUAACAGCAUUAACUGCAUGGUUGAUGUUUGAAAGUUGGUUUUGCUAACACUAUGAGAUGGCUUUGCGGUGCAUUAGCUAGUUGGUGGGGUAAAGGCCUACCAAGGCGACGAUGCAUAGCCGACCUGAGAGGGUGAUCGGCCACACUGGGACUGAGACACGGCCCAGACUCCUACGGGAGGCAGCAGUAGGGAAUCUUCCGCAAUGGGCGAAAGCCUGACGGAGCAACGCCGCGUGAGUGAAGAAGGAUUUCGGUUCGUAAAGCUCUGUUGUUAGGGAAGAAUGAUUGUGUAGUAACUAUACACAGUAGAGACGG
rnacentral:rRNA from 1 species